rnacentral:rRNA from 1 species
UACGAAGGGGGCUAGCGUUGCUCGGAAUCACUGGGCGUAAAGCGCACGUAGGCGGCUUUCUAAGUCAGGGGUGAAAUCCUGGAGCUCAACUCCAGAACUGCCUUUGAUACUGGAGAGCUUGAGUCCGGAAGAGGUGAGUGGAACUCCGAGUGUAGAGGUGAAAUUCGUAGAUAUUCGGAAGAACACCAGUGGCGAAGGCGGCUCACUGGCCCGGUACUGACGCUGAGGUGCGAAAGCGUGGGGAGCAAACAGGG